rnacentral:tRNA from 1 species
GCCUGGGUGGCUCAGUCGGUUGAGCGUCUGACUUCAGCUCAGGUCACGAUCUCACGGUUCGUGAGUUCGAGCCCCGUGUCGGGCU